rnacentral:SRP_RNA from 1 species
GCCAGGUGUGGUGGCUCACGCCUGUAAUCCCAGCACUUUGGGAGGCUGAGGCGGGUGGAUCACCUGAGGUCAGGAGUUUGAGACCAGCCUGGCCAACAUGGUGAAACCCCGUCUCUA